GGAGAGGUGGCAGAGUGGUCGAUUGCGGCGGUCUUGAAAACCGUUGUGCUGAAAGGCACCCGGGGUUCGAAUCCCUGUCUCUCCG
rnacentral:tRNA from 1 species